rnacentral:rRNA from 1 species
AGUGAACGCUGGCGGUAGGCCUAACACAUGCAAGUCGAACGGCAGCACAGUAAGAGCUUGCUCUUACGGGUGGCGAGUGGCGGACGGGUGAGGAAUACAUCGGAAUCUACUUUUUCGUGGGGGAUAACGUAGGGAAACUUACGCUAAUACCGCAUACGACCUACGGGUGAAAGCAGAGGAUCUUCGGACCUUGCGCGAUUGAAUGAGCCGAUGUCGGAUUAGCUAGUUGGCGGGGUAAAGGCCCACCAAGGCGACGAUCCGUAGCUGGUCUGAGAGGAUGAUCAGCCACACUGGAACUGAGACACGGUCCAGACUCCUACGGGAGGCAGCAGUGGGGAAUAUUGGACAAUGGGCGCAAGCCUGAUCCAGCCAUACCGCGUGGGUGAAGAAGGCCUUCGGGUUGUAAAGCCCUUUUGUUGGGAAAGAAAAGCAGCAGGUUAAUACCCCGCUGUUCUGACGGUACCCAAAGAAUAAGCACCGCCUAACUUCGUG